rnacentral:misc_RNA from 1 species
UCGUAACAAGGUUUCCGUAGGUGAACCUGCGGAAGGAUCAUUACCGAGUGAGGGCCCUCUGGGUCCAACCUCCCACCCGUGUUUAUUUUACCUCGUUGCUUCGGCGGGCCCGCCUUAACUGGCCGCCGGGGGGCUUACGCCCCCGGGCCCGCGCCCGCCGAAGACACCCUCGAACUCUGUCUGAAGAUUGUAGUCUGAGUGAAAAUAUAAAUUAUUUAAAACUUUCAACAACGGAUCUCUUGGUUCCGGCAUCGAUGAAGAACGCAGCGAAAUGCGAUACGUAAUGUGAAUUGCAAAUUCAGUGAAUCAUCGAGUCUUUGAACGCACAUUGCGCCCCCUGGUAUUCCGGGGGGCAUGCCUGUCCGAGCGUCAUUGCUGCCCUCAAGCACGGCUUGUGUGUUGGGCCCCGUCCUCCGAUCCCGGGGGACGGGCCCGAAAGGCAGCGGCGGCACCGCGUCCGGUCCUCGAGCGUAUGGGGCUUUGUCACCCGCUCUGUAGGCCCGGCCGGCGCUUGCCGAUCAACCCAAAUUUUUAUCCAGGUUGACCUCGGAUCAGGUAGGGAUACCCGCUGAACCUAAGCA